GGCCCCUUAGCUCAGCUGGAUCAGAGCGGGUGCCUUCUAAGCACCAGGUCGCAGGUUCGAGCCCUGCAGGGGUCGCCA
rnacentral:tRNA from 1 species